rnacentral:tRNA from 1 species
ACUUAUAUAGUUUAACAAAAAACAUUACACUUUCACUGUAAAACUAAAGUAAAAACUUUUAUAAGUA